rnacentral:lncRNA from 1 species
AUUACAAGUUUCAGAGAAAUUCGUUAAUGUUCCAUUAAUCUGUACUGAAUGUUCUGGAGGCAUUUUGCACUUGAAGAAACGGACUUAAAAACCGCACUUGUGGGAGCACAGCUCUUUUAAAGUUUUGGCACCGCCUACGAUUUUGUGAAUGGCCAAACGUGGAGUUAAAUCAGUACCAGAUUUUCUCUGGUUGGGGAUGGUGUCUCCCUGGAAAGCCUUUGAUCUUUUGGGCAUUGAUGCUGAGCUCAGAUGUUUUUAACACUGCGGCUUUGGGGAAGUCACUUAAUUGUUUUGUGUGUGUAGACCUGUCUGCGUGUCUUUCUUUCUUUCUUUUUUUGUGAUGUGUAAAUGAGUGGAAUGCUGCUUUCUCGAUCAUCUGGACGAGCCAUGUACCUGCCCCACCUGGAGGAUGAUCAGAAAUAUCUCAGCCGUACUCUCUCCAGUGGGACCCAAAGGGCAGUGAAUUAUUGUGGGGAAAUUAACGGAGUAAGAGUUGAGGAAUGGUUUUUCACUCUAGUUUUGUCAGCCGUUAGGCGAGGGUCCUGUUCUUUUCCCCUCCCAGUGGUGGUUUUUCUCAUUUGUAAAUCGGGUCGCUCAGAUCUGACCCGCUGACUUCCCCCACUCACAGAGGGGAUCAAAGGAAGCAGUAAGUGAAAAGUCAGAGGUGGACUUAAAUUGGAGACAUUUUUGCUGGCGACAACCACACCAGGCAUGCGGAGGUUCUGCGGGGAGGGGCGCCCGCACCCCCUGUGUUAGGACCGCAGAACCAGGCUGCGGAAGCCGGCUCCGUAUAAAGGGAUAGAAAGAUGUCCUUGAGUUUUUCCUUCUUGCGCUUGCUGCUCCUGGCCUCCCAGGGGACAGGACUCCUUUCCUGCCUCGGAGAGACCUCAGGCUGCCUGUUUGCCAGGCCAGCCUCCUUGCCUGGUGGAGCUGACUGCUCACAACGUGCGGUGGAAAAAGUCCAUCUUCUCCAGCUGUGCGCCCAGAUCAGCAGCAUCAGCAACGCCCGGGUCUGUUGAAAAGGCCGAAUCUCAGACCCCAUCCCACUUUCUUUCUAUUUUUCUUGCAAUGGCCAUACCCACGGCACAUGGAAAUUCCUGGGCCAGGGACUGAAUCAGGGCCGCAGCUGCCACCGACGCCGAAGCUGCGGCAAUGCUGGGUCCUUUAGCCUCCUGCGCCAGGCCAGGGAUGGGUCCCACACCUCUGCAGGGACGCGAGCCACUGAAGUUGGAUGCUUAACCCACUGCUCCACAGCAGGAACUCCCCAUCCCACUUUCUGAAUCAGAAACUCCGGAGGGAUAAACGAGGAGUAUGGGAUUAACAGAGAGACACCACUGUAUACCAAAUAGGUAAAGAAAAAGGAUUUGCUGUAAAUUAAAAAAAUAAUAAAUACAAAAGAAUCUCUGAGGGUGAGGCCCAGAGGGCUGUGUUUUAACAGGAGUUCCAGGGCCUUCUAAGGCUCCCUAAAGUUUCCGAACCGCUGCCUCAGAGAUGCACUUUUCAAACUGCAAUGUGACUCAGAAUUGUGUCAAAAUUCAGAUUCUGAUUCGGAGGGUGGGUGGUGAGGCUUAGAAAAGAUUCUGCUUCUCUAACCAGCUUCCAGGCGAAGCCUCUGGGCCACUGACUGCCCAGUGAGCAGCCAGGGCGUGGAGGAAAUAGCUGGGAAGGAGGAACCCACGGCUCAAGGACUGCAUCAGCUGCCAGCUCUGUGGGACCCCACAGGCAGCUACAGUUUUCCUGCAGGUCUAGAAUGGGGGUCAGAUCGUCCCGCUUUGAGACUGCGUGGUUCCGGUUUUAGGAACAACGCUCAGCACAGGCGAUACCUCCAAUUCUCAGAGAUUCGGGAGAACCGGGCCAGUUAGGGAACAAUGAAUAGGGCCUGGAGAAGGAAAUGGCAGGAUCUGAAAGAACUGGGUCCUGGGCUGGUGCGACAGGUGGCAAGGGCGUCCCACCCAGGGACCCGCUCAGGGGCUGGGAGUGUGGCGUUCCUCCGCCUAGGGUCUUGCCACCAGCUUGGCAGCCACUUUUGUGCACGAGCGUCCCUUUGCGUCCCAAGAUGGAGAGUUCCUUAGGGCGGAGGCAUUCAGGCUUGUGCAGGAGGUGCUUCUGAGACUCUGACCCUGCUCCUCGAAAGGGUCCACACUGGAAACGAAGGGCCCCUUGCCCAUCACAUCCCUCUGCGGCCGCUUACCCCUCCCCUAUGGUUCUUAGGAUGACCGCCGCUCCUGACAGGUGGCGCUUUCGGGGUUUCCUCUCACGCAUCCCAGGGGCGGCCUCUACUCCCAGAGCUUUAUCAAAACUCCUGGGGAAACUCAUUCCCAGGUGUGCACACUACUCGGGCUGUUGCCGUAAACCUUCCCAACCCACAAAGCUAAGCUCUGCCUUUUCCCUCCCAUUGGCUUCGGCUACUGUGAGGUUCCUCCCACCUCCGAGCGCACGGAUGUGGAGGCGACCCCACCGCUGUCUCCGCCAGCUCGGUGCUGGCCCUGGGGCUGAGUGAGUGUCAGUAUUGACGGAGAGAAGAGUCUGGGCGGGGUUGGGGGCGGGUAUUCGGCGGGGCGAGCGCACGCUGAGCCGCAGAAAUGUGGUUUUGAAAAGAGAUGACACGGACACUUUCCAGCCUGGAUUUCUGCUUUCGUCCUGGGCUUUGCACACAACUGUCUGAGACCGGACUCAGCCGACACGAUCCCCGGUGGUGGUCAGAGACUUCGCUGAACCAGAAUUAAGUGUCCGGCUAUAGCCCUUUUGUUUGUGUUCAUUAUUGCUUUUAUUACUCAUGUCUAUAUUUC